UAGAACGUGAUGUAAAGGAAACACAGAGAAUUUUGAAUUCUUAGCUUUAGGUCCAAUUCCUAUUGUUCUAG
rfam:Monodelphis domestica chromosome X, whole genome shotgun sequence.